GACGAACGCUGGCGGCGUGCUUAACACAUGCAAGUCGAACGGGAUUUAGUAGACAGAAGCCUCGGCUAAAGAUUACUAAUGAGAGUGGCGAACGGGUGAGUAACGCGUGAGCAACCUGCCUAUGACAGUGGGAUAGCCUCGGGAAACCGGGAUUAAUACCGCAUAAAAUCGUAGAAACACAUGUUUCAACGGUCAAAGAUUUAUCGGUCAUAGAUGGGCUCGCGUCUGAUUAGCUAGUUGGUGAGAUAACAGCCCACCAAGGCGACGAUCAGUAGCCGGUCGGAGAGGAUGAACGGCCACAUUGGAACUGAGACACGGUCCAAACUCCUACGGGAGGCAGCAGUGGGGAAUAUUGCACAAUGGGGGAAACCCUGAUGCAGCGACGCCGCGUGAACGAAGAAGGUAUUCGUAUCGUAAAGUUCUGUCCUAUGGGAAGAUAAUGACAGUACCAUAGAAGAAAGCUCCGGCUAAAUACGUG
rnacentral:rRNA from 1 species